CAGUACGCUGGUAGCUAUUGAGCCAGGGGCGGUAGCGUG
rfam:Kluyvera intermedia strain CAV1151, complete genome.